rnacentral:rRNA from 1 species
AUGUCGGGAGAUCAGAUGAUUCAAACUAUCACAACACAGUUUGUGUUGCAAAGCCCCCUUGCACAACACGGUCCUUGUUGCAAAAGCUGCGUACGAUGGGAGGGAAAUGGCUUGAACGACUGCAACACAGUUCAUGCUGCAAAGCCCCUAGCGAACAAGGUCCUUGUUGCAAAGCAGGCGGCGCUGUCCUCGUCCUCCUCGGGCGGCGGCGGCGGUGACGGCGGAGAGACGGCCAAGGAGCUCGGCGACCUCGCGCUCUUCCUCGCCCACGUCGCGCCCUUCUACCCCAACGACCUCGCCGACCUGCCCGACCAGAUCGGGGGCCUGCUCGACACUAACGCCCGCGCGCUGCCGUCCGGCCUCCGGGUGCACCUAGUGCAGGUGCUCAUACUGCUGGUCAAUCGGAAGAUUGUUGAUCUGGAAGACACCAUGGAGUUAUUUAUGGAGCUUCAAGUCAUCGGAGACCGAGCAGUAAAAAAGCUUGCAUUUUCACAUAUUGUACACAGCAUCAGAAGGAUGAAUCAGAAGCACAAGAAUGAAGCCAAGAAUCGCAAACUGCAAGGCAUCCUUUUUAAAUUAGUACAGGCUUAUGUGACAGCUGCUAUUUCAUUGCUCAUUGGGUAUGAAACUGUUGAGCAAGAGGAUGAUAGUGAUGCCAGCAGUGAAGAUGAAGCAAUUCAAAACCCAAAUGUUAUACUUAGUAAAGAGGAUGUUUACAAGUCAAAUCACAAGGGUACCUCUGCUAGUAAGAAAAGGAAGAAAGCUAAAUUGGAGCGUGUAGUUCGUAGUAUGAAAAGGCAACAACGUAAAUCCAAUGAGGAGACUGGCUCCAAUUACUAUUCGCCCCUUAUGUAUUUAAAGGAUCCCCAGGGUUUUGCAGAGAAACUCUUCUCUCGGCUACAGAAAUGCAAUGAACGAUUUGAGGUAAGGAUGAUGAUGUUGAAGGUCAUAGCAAGGACUAUUGGGCUGCAUCACUUGGUUUUGUUGAACUUCUAUCCAUAUCUUCAAAGAUAUUUUAAACCUCAUCAACGUGAUGUCACCACUCAACUUGCUGCAGCAGUACAGGCUUGCCAUGAGAUGGUGCCUCCUGAUGCUGUUGAACCGCUGUUCGAGCAGAUAGUAAAUCAAUUUGUGCAUGAUCGUUCCCGUCCGGAGUGCUACCUUAAAUCACGACCUAGAAUCAUUAUGCUGGUCAUGUUGCAUUGUUUGCUACCUUGUACCCUUGGGGAACACACGAUGAAUGAGGAUCUACUCCAAGACCUUGUUCUAUAUAAGAAGUCCCACGAGAAAGCUGUUUCUAUUGCCGCUCGCUCACUUAUCACAUUAUUCAGGGAGAUCUGUCCUUCAUUGUUAGUCAAGAAAGAUCGUGGCCGUCCUAUUGAUCCAACUGCUCGGCCAAAAGCAUUUGGAGAAACCACUAUUGCUAGUGAUGUGCCUGGAGCUGAGUUGCUAGAUGGAGAGAUGUCACCAGAAGGGGGUUCAGACGAUGAGUCUGAUGCUUUUGAUUCUGAUGACGAUGAAGAUCAUGAAGAUGAAGUAUCUGGGGAACAAGAUGAUGCAGAGGAACUAGACGAGGAUGAUAGUGAUGACGAUAUGGAUGAACUAGAUGACGACUCUGACGUGGAUGGUGAUACUGAUGUGUCUGAUGAGGAUGAAGAUGAGAAGCUCAAUGACGAUUCAGAGACAGAAGACUCGGACCCGGAGGUUCAAGACAGUGAUGAGGAGGAUAAAUCAAAGGGUAGCAGAUCCAAGGUGCAGAAGAGAAAGUUAAGUGAUUAUAUUGGACAACUUGAUGCUGCAGAUGCAAGCCUUCGAGCUCUGAAGAAGUUAGCAGGAGCUAAGGAGGCCGAAGCCUCAACAGAUGAAGCUGGCAGAAUUUUCGGCGACGAAGAUUUUAACCGCAUAAAAGAGCUCAAGACUCACGUCAAGAGAAAGAUGACCGAGGAAGAGAUAUUAGAGAUGGUGAAAGCUGGAAGGGAGGAUAGAGGAAAAUACCAAGCAAGAGCAGCUAUUAAACAGAAAAAGACGGGUGGCUCGAGCAAUAAGCAGAAACAGCACCAGAAGAGGAUGCCUUUGGCGGCAAAGAGAGCAAAGGCAGCGCGUUCUCGCCAGGAGAAGAAGUCCAAAGCGAAGCACUCAGGAAAGCAGUUCAGGGAAAGGAAAGCCUGGAAAUAA